AAUCAACGCUGGCGGCGUGCCUCAGACAUGCAAGUCGAACGAUUAAGACUUCCUUCGGGAAGUGUAUAAAGUGGCGCACGGGUGAGUAACACGUAAGUAAUCUACCUUCGAGUGGGGAAUAACGUUCGGAAACGAACGCUAAUACCGCAUAAUGCAGCGGCACCUAAUGGUGACAGUUGUUAAAGGAGCAAUUCGCUUGAAGAGGAGCUUGCGGCAGAUUAGCUAGUUGGUAAGGUAAUGGCUUACCAAGGCUACGAUCUGUAACCGGUCUAAGAGGACGGUCGGUCACACUGACACUGAAUAACGGGUCAGACUCCUACGGGAGGCAGCAGUCGGGAAUUUUGGGCAAUGGGCGAAAGCCUGACCCAGCAACGCCGCGUGAAGGAUGAAGUAUUUCGGUAUGUAAACUUCGAAAGAAUGGGAAGAAUCAAUGACGGUACCAUUUAUAAGGUCCGGCUAACUACGUGCCAGCCGCCGCGGUAAGAC
rnacentral:rRNA from 1 species